rnacentral:rRNA from 1 species
AACGAACGCUGGCGGCAUGCCUAACACAUGCAAGUCGAACGAGACCUUCGGGUCUAGUGGCGCACGGGUGCGUAACGCGUGGGAACCUGCCCUUAGGUUCGGAAUAACUCCCCGAAAGGGGUGCUAAUACCGGAUAAUGUCUUCGGACCAAAGAUUUAUCGCCUUUGGAUGGGCCCGCGUUGGAUUAGCUAGUUGGUAGGGUAAAAGCCUACCAAGGCGACGAUCCAUAGCUGGUCUGAGAGGAUGAUCAGCCACACUGGGACUGAGACACGGCCCAGACCCCCUGGGGGGGGAGCAGGGGGGAAUUUGGGAAAGUGGGGGAAAGCCUGAUCCGGCAAUGCCGGGGGAGUGAUGAAGGCCUUAGGGUUGUAAAGCUCUUUUACCCGGGAUGAUAAUGACAGUACCGGGAAAAUAAACCCCGGCUAACCCCGU